UUCUCUAUUGUUCUCGUGGUUUCUUUCAGAUGAGUCACCUACUCUUGAGCAUUCUAAAGCAGGUCUUUUGUCAAUGUCAAAAGAUGAUUGCAAAAAAUUUGGUUCUCUAUUUGUGAUCACAUUGAAAGCUGAUCCAUCCCUUGACAGUUCAUAUGUGGUCUUCGGGGAGCUUAUUGGUGGACAACGAACACUGGAUAUGAUUGGAGAAUAUGGUUUUGAGCUACCUGUUCAAAUCAUCCAAUGUGGUGCCUAUACUGAAGUUGGAAGGUGAUGCUUGAAGGAGCACAUCAAUACAUAGAAGUAGAAAUCACAGCUGCUCAGAAUACCAUUGCAAGAUUGCAACCUUUUGAUUGUUUGGAGUAGGGUUUAUUGACGUGAUGGAUCACUAAUGUAAUUGUUUCCCUCUGUUAUAAGUGGAAGUGUUGAAUCCCCGGCAUUGUGUACCCUGACCUGCAUCCACUUCUCCCUCUAUCUGAUAACAUCACUUUCUUUCUAGCGUUCUGUUUGUUCAAAUGUUAUCAUUGGCAAGGAUAAUUUGUGAUGAGCGUGCUCAUAAGGCUAGGAGCUAUUUCCGCCUUCUAUUUCAGUUCAAA